GUGCUUAGUUUUGGGUUCAAUCUUGCGGUGUCCUCACUCAGUGACAGUAGGGGUAGCGAGGCACGUAUUGUAUUGUUGCCAUCAAGGGUAAAAAGAUGGAGUUUUCAUCAUAUUGCUUGAGUUUAUCCCUCUACAUCAUGUCAUCUUACUUAAUGUGUUACUCUGUUCUUCAUGAACUUAAUACUCCAGAUGCAGGCAGGAGUCGGUCGAUGUGUGGGCUAAUAGUAGUAGAUGCACAAUCGUUUGGGUCUACUUGAUACGGACAUGAUGCCUAUAUGCAUAAUCAUUGCCUUGGAUAUCUCCAUGACUAUUUGUUUUUCUAUCAAUUGCUCGACAGUAAUUUGUUCGCACAGCGUAUUAUUUUCCUUCAUGAGAGAAGCCUCGAGUGAAACCUAUGGCCCUCGGGUCUAUUUUCCAUAUCAUAUUUUCAGAUAUAUAAACCCAAAAUACUUUUCUGCAAUUUAUUUACUUUAGUUUUACAUUCAGAUCUACAAUAUUUUAUAUCUAUCUCUAUCAGAUCUCAUCCUUGCAAACAACUCUGAAGGGAUUGACAACCCCUUUAUAGUGUUGGGUGCAAGUGUUUGAUUAUUUGUGUAGGUACUACUAUUGGAGUCUUGCUUGUUCCUCCUACUGGAUUGAUACCUUGAUUCUCAACAAACUGAGGGAAAUACUUAUCUACUUCGCUGCAUCAUGCUUUCCUCUUCAAGGGAAAACCAACACAAGCUCAAGAGGUAGCAUUGCUAAACUUAAUUUGCUGUAGAAAAGCUAAAAUUUGGUAGUUGCCUAUUCACCCCCCUAGUCAACCAUAUUGAUCCUUUCACCUUCUGAUAUAUGCUUCUCUUUACCCACGGUGAUUGAUGUUUUGGUGCGCUCGUCCUCUAGGGCUUUAGCAUGGUGACUUCUCAAUAGUCUACUACAACAAGGUUUGUCUGGCUUCGAUGAUGAAGGGCGAUGACGGCGUCGUGCUUUCAACUUACAAGAGUGCUUGUUGUAGUCGCUAGUGGUCUACAGACUUGAUGCAAUUUUAUUUUUUUAUUGUUCUUUGUAGUAUCUUGAUAGUUGAUGGAUAGAUCGAUUUUCGCCGCAAAAUAAUGAUAGUUUGAACAUAUGCCUUUAUAUACCCCCUUCACG
rnacentral:lncRNA from 1 species